rnacentral:rRNA from 1 species
GAUGAACGCUAGCUACAGGCUUAACACAUGCAAGUCGAGGGGUAACGAGAGGAAAGCUUGCUUUCCUUGUAGACGACCGGCGCACGGGUGAGUAACGCGUAUCCAACCUGCCCCCAACUAGGGAAUAACCUUGCGAAAGUAAGACUAAUACCCUAUAAUUUCCUCAGAUGUCAUCUGACGAGGAAUAAAGAUUUAUCGGUUGUGGAUGGGGAUGCGUCGGAUUAGCUUGUUGGCGGGGUAACGGCCCACCAAGGCAACGAUCAGUAGGGGUUCUGGGAGGAAGGUCCCCCACAUUGGAGCUGAGACACGGUCCAAGCACCUACGGGAGGCAGCAGUUAGUAAUAUUGGUCAAUGGGCGGAGGCCUGAACUAGCCAAGUAGCGUGCAGGAUGACGGCCCUAUGGGUUGUAGACUGCUUUGAGACUGGAAUAAAGUUAGCCGCGUGUGGUUAUUUGUAGGUAGUGUAUGAAUAAGGACCGGCUAAUUCCGUGCCAGCCGCCGCGGUAA